rnacentral:lncRNA from 1 species
UGGCCACCUGGAAGCACUGGAAAGGGGCCAGGUCCGUGCUGAAAGCUGAGCACCUGCCUUUGGCUAUCUGGGGCCCUGGCUUGGCACACCAGCAAGAGGAGCCCACGUUGGCUGCACAGGAUGCUGACCUUCCCCGUGCUGCAAAGAAACCCCAAGCUUUCCAGCUAUAAAACGCUGAUGUCAUAAAAGUAACUCGCAUAUUGGGAAAAUAAAUUAGCAUUUUGAAGUGCAUGCAACUGCACUGGUCUGCUGCACUUUCUGAUCAGCACUCAGGGGUGAUUUGGCUUCCCAGUGCCUGUUCAGCACUUGGUGUAAUCGGGUCCUGGUCCAGGAGGACUGAUGCUCAGGGCUGUGGGGUGCUGAGGGCUUUGUGAUACAUGGCCAUCUGUGACGAGCUUUGUGAGUUCUCUCUGAAUUUCCAUCCUGACCCCCCUGCAUCUGUUCCUCCCCCCAGCCUGCCCUGGGUGUGGAUCAGUGCUGAAUGAGGGGCUCUGCUGGGCUCCCUCCCCUACUGGACCAGUACCAGACUCUGCAGCACGUCUGGGAACAAUCUGCAAACUCACUGACAGCAGGCUUGAGAACGGGUUAAGGAAAGGAAACUGAAUCCAUCAUCUCCUCUCCAAACCAAAGUCAAACCAUAUUGAUUUGGGCAUUGUUCAUUGUAUGUUUAAUUUGCAGUUGAACUGAAGCUGUUCUCAGCCUGCAGCAACCAGCAAGCAUACUGCCCUUUUUUUAAGGCUACUUCUUCUCACUGGGGCUGUUUCCUAUGUAGUGAGCAUGAGAGUCUUUACCUGAGUUUAAAAAAAUCCAUCUUAUACAGAAAGACCCCCACUGCCGACAGCUUCUUCCUAGGAACCCUUCUGUAUUUGCUUUGUCCGGCCGCUUUCUGAGUUUCCUUUUAAAGGUCACGGAGAGCCAUAAAAUCUUUUUUUCCCAUUAUUGCACACUUUAAAACAAUAGAUUCCUUUCCCCAGUCAAUUGGACUGGGUUUAUUAGACGAAGAGGUGAAUUUCUGUAGCAAUUAGUCAUUACAACAUUAUUCACUCGAAAAAUAGAAAUAUGCUACUCUAUAGUCUGGAUUGCAUUUAAAACACAAAAAGCCUAAUGAAUGUGCAGGGAGGGGAAAGCAAGCAGCAGCCUGUGAGGCAUGAGCCCAGGCUGUUGUUUUACAUUUGACUUGUUCCAGGGGAACCUGAAAUAAUGCCUCUGCCUAGGUUUAGGGCAGGGGAACAUGCUGUCCUCUGCACAUCUUGUGGGGUAGCUGAGACUGCACCAAGCACCUGAAAUGGCAUUUUAAGGUCAAAUCACCACCUUUUAGUCUUACAAAAUCAGGCCAGAAACUCCCAAGGGGCCAGGCUUCCCUGAAGGUCACUGAUGUGCAUGGGAAGGUAGUGAAGGAAGGAUCUCGGUAGUGAGAGCACCCGGUUUGCCCACUUGCUGCUCAAGGUAAGCUUCACAGCCUAUUAAGGACCAGCAAAUUAGAGUAAAACUUGGAUUCAAUCUAGAUCCAAACCCCCUAGCUCAGGCUCAUCACUACAAUAACAGAAAAAAAAAAUAAAUAAAGCUCCUCUGAGCUUCUAACCA